UCCCUGGUGGCUCAGACAGUAAAGCAUCUGCCUACAAUGCAGAAGAACCAGGUUCAGUCCUUGGGUUGGGAA
rfam:TPA: Bos taurus chromosome 1, whole genome shotgun sequence.